AAUCAACGCUGGCGGCGUGCCUAACACAUGCAAGUCGCACGAGAAAGGGACUUCGGUCCUGAGUACAGUGGCGCACGGGUGAGUAACACGUGAAUAAUCUACCUUCGAGUGGGGAAUAACUGAGAGAAAUCUUAGCUAAUACCGCAUAAUACCUACGGGUCAAAGCAGCAAUGCGCUUGAAGAGGAGUUCGCGGCAGAUUAGUUAGUUGGCAGGGUAAUGGCCUACCAAGACGAUGAUCUGUAUCCGGCCUGAGAGGGCGCACGGACACACUGGAACUGAAACACGGUCCAGACUCCUACGGGAGGCAGCAGUGGGGAAUUUUGCGCAAUGGGGGAAACCCGUGACGCAGCAACGCCGCGUGGAGGAUGAAAUCCCUUGGGAUGUAAACUCCUUUCGAUCGGGAAGAUAAUGACGGUACCGAGAGAAGAAGCCCCGGCUAACUUCGUGCCAGCAGCCG
rnacentral:rRNA from 1 species